AGUGUACGCUGGCGGUAGGCCUAACACAUGCAAGUCGAACGGCAGCACAGUAAGAGCUUGCUCUUACGGGUGGCGAGUGGCGGACGGGUGAGGAAUACAUCGGAAUCUACUUUUUCGUGGGGGAUAACGUAGGGAAACUUACGCUAAUACCGCAUACGACCUACGGGUGAAAGCAGGGGAUCUUCGGACCUUGCGCGAUUGAAUGAGCCGAUGUCGGAUUAGCUAGUUGGCGGGGUAAAGGCCCACCAAGGCGACGAUCCGUAGCUGGUCUGAGAGGAUGAUCAGCCACACUGGAACUGAGACACGGUCCAGACUCCUACGGGAGGCAGCAGUGGGGAAUAUUGGACAAUGGGCGCAAGCCUGAUCCAGCCAUACCGCGUGGGUGAAGAAGGCCUUCGGGUUGUAAAGCCCUUUUGUCGGGAAAGAAAAGCAGCAGGUUAAUACCCCGCUGUUCUGACGGUACCCAAAGAAUAAGCACCGGCUAACUUCGUG
rnacentral:rRNA from 1 species